rnacentral:rRNA from 1 species
GCUUACGGCCACACCACCCUGAGCACGCCCGCUCUCGUCUGAUCUCGGAAGCCAAGCAGGGUCGGGCCUGGUUAGUACUUGGAUGGGAGACCGCCUGGGAAUACCAGUUUGCUGUAAGCAU